UACAGAGGGUGCAAGCGUUGUUCGGAAUCAUUGGGCGUAAAGGGCGUGUAGGCGGUAUGUUAAGUCAUGUGUGAAAUCCCUCGGCUCAACCGGGGAACGACGCAUGAAACUGGCAAGCUAGAGUACCAAAGAGGGUGGUGGAAUUCCCGGUGUAGCGGUGAAAUUCGUAGAUAUUCGCAAGAACACCAGUGGCGAAGGCGGCUCACUGGCCCGAUACUGACGCUGAGGCACGAAAGCGUGGGGAGCAAACAGG
rnacentral:rRNA from 1 species